rnacentral:rRNA from 1 species
CUACAGGCUUAACACAUGCAAGUCGAGGGGCAGCAUGGUCUUAGCUUGCUAAGGCCGAUGGCGACCGGCGCACGGGUGAGUAACACGUAUCCAACCUGCCGUCUACUCUUGGACAGCCUUCUGAAAGGAAGAUUAAUACAAGAUGGCAUCAUGAGUCCGCAUGUUCACAUGAUUAAAGGUAUUCCGGUAGACGAUGGGGAUGCGUUCCAUUAGAUAGUAGGCGGGGUAACGGCCCACCUAGUCUUCGAUGGAUAGGGGUUCUGAGAGGAAGGUCCCCCACAUUGGAACUGAGACACGGUCCAAACUCCUACGGGAGGCAGCAGUGAGGAAUAUUGGUCAAUGGGCGCAGGCCUGAACCAGCCAAGUAGCGUGAAGGAUGACUGCCCUAUGGGUUGUAAACUUCUUUUAUAAAGGAAUAAAGUCGGGUAUGGAUACCCGUUUGCAUGUACUUUAUGAAUAAGGAUCGGCUAACUCCGUGCCAGCAGCCGCGGUAAUACGGAGGAUCCGAGCGUUAUCCGGAUUUAUUGGGUUUAAAGGGAGCGUAGAUGGAUGUUUAAGUCAGUUGUGAAAGUUUGCGGCUCAACCGUAAAAUUGCAGUUGAUACUGGAUAUCUUGAGUGCAGUUGAGGCAGGCGGAAUUCGUGGUGUAGCGGUGAAAUGCUUAGAUAUCACGAAGAACUCCGAUUGCGAAGGCAGCCUGCUAAGCUGCAACUGACAUUGAGGCUCGAAAGUGUGGGUAUCAAACAGGAUUAGAUACCCUGGUAGUCCACACGGUAAACGAUGAAUACUCGCUGUUUGCGAUAUACGGCAAGCGGCCAAGCGAAAGCGUUAAGUAUUCCACCUGGGGAGUACGCCGGCAACGGUGAAACUCAAAGGAAUUGACGGGGGCCCGCACAAGCGGAGGAACAUGUGGUUUAAUUCGAUGAUACGCGAGGAACCUUACCCGGGCUUAAAUUGCAGAUGAAUUACGGUGAAAGCCGUAAGCCGCAAGGCAUCUGUGAAGGUGCUGCAUGGUUGUCGUCAGCUCGUGCCGUGAGGUGUCGGCUUAAGUGCCAUAACGAGCGCAACCCUUGUUGUCAGUUACUAACAGGUUCCGCUGAGGACUCUGACAAGACUGCCAUCGUAAGAUGUGAGGAAGGUGGGGAUGACGUCAAAUCAGCACGGCCCUUACGUCCGGGGCUACACACGUGUUACAAUGGGGGGUACAGAGGGCCGCUACCACGCGAGUGGAUGCCAAUCCCAAAAACCUCUCUCAGUUCGGACUGGAGUCUGCAACCCGACUCCACGAAGCUGGAUUCGCUAGUAAUCGCGCAUCAGCCACGGCGCGGUGAAUACGUUCCCGGGCCUUGUACACACCGCCCGUCAAGCCAUGGGAGCCGGGGGUACCUGAAGUGCGUAACCGCGAGGAGCGCCCUAGGGUAAAACUGGUGACUGGGGCUAAGUCGUA